CCACUGGAGAAUGACGAAUUGAUCAUGUACAUGCUACAUGGUGUCGGAUCUGAAUAUGAUCCAUUCGUGACAUGCAUCACCACACACACCGACGCCAUCAACAUCAGUGAUGUCUACACCCAUAUGCUGAGCUACGAAC